AGAGUUUGAUCAUGGCUCAGGACGAACGCUGGCGGCGUGCCUAAUACAUGCAAGUCGAGCGGACCGAACGAGAGCUUGCUCUUGUUUGGUCAGCGGCGGACGGGUGAGUAACACGUGGGCAACCUGCCCGCAAGACCGGGAUAACUCCGGGAAACCGGAGCUAAUACCGGAUAACACCAAAGACCGCAUGGUCUUUGGUUGAAAGGCGGCUUCGGCUGUCACUUGCGGAUGGGCCCGCGGCGCAUUAGCUAGUUGGUGAGGUAACGGCUCACCAAGGCGACGAUGCGUAGCCGGCCUGAGAGGGUGACCGGCCACACUGGGACUGAGACACGGCCCAGACUCCUACGGGAGGCAGCAGUAGGGAAUCUUCCGCAAUGGACGAAAGUCUGACGGAGCGACGCCGCGUGAGCGAAGAAGGCCUUCGGGUCGUAAAG
rnacentral:rRNA from 1 species